rnacentral:tRNA from 1 species
GCACUCGUAGCUCAGCUGGAUAGAGUACUGCCCUCCGAAGGCAAUAAGGGGUCGUGGGUUCGAAUCCCGCCGAGUGCGCCA